rnacentral:sRNA from 2 species
UGUGAGCCCGUAAAGUUCUCAGAUGCUCUCGUGAGACAAGGGCGUUCGGCUAUCUUUGGGGUUCGAACAUUACUCGUGUAGCCAGUGGUAGCCCGGUGGGGGGUCAUGGUUUCAAGGGUUGGGCUUCUUCCUGGCCGUCAGGCGGCAGCUAACACGAGCGAAGGAGAAAUCGUUGGAUAAACUGGUGAUUCGGCAUGCCUUCUUUUUCUCAUUCUCACCCCUGGGUGAGAAUGGAGACAGGCAGAUGCAUUUCGUUAAAUAAUUGGUGUCUCCAAAUUCUCUUGGGAUACUUACUCUUUAUUCAAAUAAACAUGUUAUAUAUCACACACAUUUGAGGGACUAGACUCACUGGGAGAGCCCGAUUGUCGAUCUGAUCAACAAGACUCCCAAGCUUUUCACAUUGGCAAAAGCUUGACUUGAACCGCCGCCUCGGAAACCUUUGUCUGGCCAGAUAUCCGCUCCAUCGCCGGGUUGCGCAGCUGCUGAACAAUGCAUGUGCGCCUGCCUCUCGGAGUCCGACGGGCUGCUGCUCCCUAGACUGUUGGCGUCUCGGUGGCUGCGGGAAGACGAAAAGGAGAGAGUACAUGGUAGUGCAUAACAAACGAAAGCAAAUUAACAUGGAGUAUCCCGUUGAAAGUAGUGGGUAAACAGUACAUAGGAGAGUCUAGAAGAGACCGAAGUGUAGCACAGCUGAAGC